UGAAAAUUACCAGAGUAGAACAAACCAACACACUGCUUUAUCAAAGGAUGCAUGAUAACAAGAGGUACAUUGAUGAUCAGCUACCUUUAAAAUUUCAAGAGCAUGAACAGAUACUUCUUUCAGC